rnacentral:rRNA from 1 species
UAAUACGUAGGGGGCGAGCGUUGUCCGGAAUUAUUGGGCGUAAAGCGCGCGCAGGCGGCUGUUUAAGUCUGGUGUUUAAUCCUGGGGCUCAACCCCGGGUCGCACUGGAAACUGGGCAGCUUGAGUGCAGAAGAGGAGAGUGGAAUUCCACGUGUAGCGGUGAAAUGCGUAGAGAUGUGGAGGAACACCAGUGGCGAAGGCGACUCUCUGGGCUGUAACUGACGCUGAGGCGCGAAAGCGUGGGGAGCAAACAGGAUUAGAUACCCUGGUAGUCUACGCCGUAAACGAUGAAUGCUAGGUGUUAGGGGUUUCGAUACCCUUGGUGCCGAAGUUAACACAUUAAGCAUUCCGCCUGGGGAGUACGGCCGCAAGGCUGAA